rnacentral:rRNA from 1 species
GGGCAUCGACGAGCUCUGGGUCACCUCCCACCCGUGUUUAUUUUACCUUGUUGCUUCGGCGGGCCCGCCUUAACUGGCCGCCGGGGGGCUUACGCCCCCGGGCCCGCGCCCGCCGAAGACACCCUCGAACUCUGUCUGAAGAUUGAAGUCUGAGUGAAAAUAUAAAUUAUUUAAAACUUUCAACAACGGAUCUCUUGGUUCCGGCAUCGAUGAAGAACGCAGCGAAAUGCGAUACGUAAUGUGAAUUGCAAAUUCAGUGAAUCAUCGAGUCUUUGAACGCACAUUGCGCCCCCUGGUAUUCCGGGGGGCAUGCCUGUCCGAGCGUCAUUGCUGCCCUCAAGCCCGGCUUGUGUGUUGGGCCCCGUCCCCCGAUCUCCGGGGGACGGGCCCGAAAGGCAGCGGCGGCACCGCGUCCGGUCCUCGAGCGUAUGGGGCUUUGUCACCCGCUCUGUAGGCCCGGCCGGCGCUUGCCGAUCAACCCAAAUUUUUAUCCAGGUUGACCUCGGAUCAGGUAGGGAUACCCGCUGAACUUAAGCAUAUCAAUAAACGGAGGAAA